rnacentral:rRNA from 1 species
AUUGAACGCUGGCGGCAGGCCUAACACAUGCAAGUCGAGCGGUAGCACAGAGAGCUUGCUCUCGGGUGACGAGUGGCGGACGGGUGAGUAAUGUCUGGGAAACUGCCUGAUGGAGGGGGAUAACUACUGGAAACGGUAGCUAAUACCGCAUAAUGUCGCAAGACCAAAGAGGGGGACCUUCGGGCCUCUUGCCAUCGGAUGUGCCCAGAUGGGAUUAGCUUGUUGGUGAGGUAAAGGCUCACCAAGGCGACGAUCCCUAGCUGGCCUGAGAGGAUGACCAGCCACACUGGAACUGAGACACGGUCCAGACUCCUACGGGAGGCAGCAGUGGGGAAUAUUGCACAAUGGGCGCAAGCCUGAUGCAGCCAUGCCGCGUGUGUGAAGAAGGCCUUCGGGUUGUAAAGCACUUUCAGCGGGGAGGAAGGCGGUGAGUUUAAUAAGCUCACCGAUUGACGUUACCCGCAGAAGAAGCACCGGCUAACUCCGUGCCAGCCGCCGCUGUAA